CCGGUAACGUGUCGGAUUUAUUGGGCGUAAGCGAGCGCAGGCGGUUUUUUAAGUCUGAUGUGAAAGCCUUCGGCUCAACCGAAGAAGUGCAUCGGAAACUGGGAAACUUGAGUGCAGAAGAGGACAGUGGAACUCCAUGUGUAGCGGUGAAAUGCGUAGAUAUAUGGAAGAACACCAGUGGCGAAGGCGGCUGUCUGGUCUGUAACUGACGCUGAGGCUCGAAAGUAUGGGUAGCAAACAGGAUUAGAUACCCUGGUAGUCCAUACCGUAAACGAUGAAUGCUAAGUGUUGGAGGGUUUCCGCCCUUCAGUGCUGCAGCUAACGCAUUAAGCAUUCCGCCUGGGGAGUACGGCCGCAAGGCUGAAACUCAAAGGAAUUGACGGGGGCCCGCACAAGCGGUGGAGCAUGUGGUUUAAUUCGAAGCUACGCGAAGAACCUUACCAGGUCUUGACAUACUAUGCAAAUCUAAGAGAUUAGACGUUCCCUUCGGGGACAUGGAUACAGGUGGUGCAUGGUUGUCGUCAGCUCGUGUCGUGAGAUGUUGGGUUAAGUCCCGCAACGAGCGCAACCCUUAUUAUCAGUUGCCAGCAUUAAGUUGGGCACUCUGGUGAGACUGCCGGUGACAAACCGGAGGAAGGUGGGGAUGACGUCAAAUCAUCAUGCCCCUUAUGACCUGGGCUACACACGUGCUACAAUGGAUGGUACAACGAGUUGCGAACUCGCGAGAGUAAGCUAAUCUCUUAAAGCCAUUCUCAGUUCGGAUUGUAUGCUGCAACUCGCCUACAUGAAGUCGGACUCGCUAGUAAUCGCGGAUCAGCAUGCCGCGGUGAAUACCUCCCCCGGGCGCGUGAAA
rnacentral:rRNA from 2 species